rnacentral:rRNA from 1 species
UACGAAGGGUGCUAGCGUUGUUCGGAAUUACUGGGCGUAAAGCGCACGCAGGCGGUUUGAUAAGUCGGGGGUGAAAUCCCGGGGCUCAACCUCGGAAUUGCCUUCGAUACUGUUAGUCUUGAGUCCGGGAGAGGUGAGUGGAAUUCCUAGUGUAGAGGUGAAAUUCGUAGAUAUUAGGAAGAACACCAGUGGCGAAGGCGGCUCACUGGCCCGGUACUGACGCUCAUGUGCGAAAGCGUGGGGAGCAAACAGG